rnacentral:rRNA from 1 species
GAUGAACGCUGGCGGCGUGCUUAACACAUGCAAGUCGAACGAAGCACUUAAACGGAUCUCUUCGGAGUGAAGCUUUUGUGACUGAGUGGCGGACGGGUGAGUAACGCGUGGGCAACCUGCCUUACACUGGGGGGAUAACAGUUGGAAACGACUGCUAAUACCGCAUAAGCGCACAGUAUCGCAUGAUACAGUGUGAAAAACUGCGGUGGUGUAAGAUGGGCCCGCGUUUGAUUAGCUAGUUGGUGAGGUAACGGCUCACCAAGGCUGCGAUCGAAGGCCGACCUGAGAGGGUGACCGGGCACCUUGGGACUGAGACACGGGCCAAACUCCUAGGGGAGGCAGCAGUGGGGAAUAUUGCACAAUGGGGGAAACCCUGAUGCAGCGACGCCGCGUGGAGGAUGACGUAGUUCGGUAUGUAAGCUCCUAUCAGCAGGGAAGAUAAUGACGGUACCUGACUAAGAAGCCCCGGCUAACUACGUGCCAGCAGCCGCGGUAAAAC